rnacentral:rRNA from 1 species
GACGAACGCUGGCGGCGCGCCUAACACAUGCAAGUCGAACGGAGCUGAGAGAAGCUUGCUUUUCUUAGCUUAGUGGCGAACGGGUGAGUAACGCGUGAGUAACCUGCCCUGGAGUGGGGGACAACAGUUGGAAACGACUGCUAAUACCGCAUAAGCCCACGAUCCGGCAUCGGAUUGAGGGAAAAGGAUUUAUUCGCUUCAGGAUGGACUCGCGUCCGAUUAGCUAGUUGGUGAGGUAACGGCCCACCAAGGCGACGAUUGGUAGCCGGACUGAGAGGUUGAACGGCCACAUUGGGACUGAGACACGGCCCAGACUCCUACGGGAGGCAGCAGUGGGGGAUAUUGCACAAUGGGGGAAACCCUGAUGCAGCGACGCCGCGUGGAGGAAGAAGGUUUUCGGAUUGUAAACUCCUGUCGUUAGGGACGAUAAUGACGGUACCUAACAAGAAAGCACCGGCUAACUACGUG